GCCCGGAUGGCGGAAUUGGUAGACGCAAGGGACUUAAAAUCCCUCGGGGUUUCCCCGUGCCGGUUCGAUCCCGGCUCCGGGCACCA
rnacentral:tRNA from 1 species